rnacentral:lncRNA from 1 species
GGCAAUGUUGACCCCAAGAAACUAAUUAAAAAAUUGGCAAAAUGCGGCAAGAUGGCUGAAAUAUUAGAAACAGGAGACGAGAAAACCGAUGGUGAAAAAAAUUCAACCAAAGCAAAGAAAGACAAUACAAAAGAAGGUAACUCUGAUAAAAAACCUGUGUUAGAGCAAGAUAAGGUCACAGAUUCUGGCGAAGGUGAUAAGAAGAAGAAGACCAAACAGGUAGAGAGCGCUGGAAACAAAGUUGAUUCCAAAAUCACAGAAGGUGACAAAACCAUUAAUUCUGCAAAUGACACCACCAAAAUCACUGCUCAAGUAAAAACUGCAGAAUAUCCACAAAUGAAAUAUUUGAACCCUAGUGCUGGUAUGGAUCCCAACUACAUAGUUCCCAUGACAUAUUACAUGCAGAGUUCUUACCCAGCAUCUACUCCAAUGGUAAACUCAUAUCCUGCACCCACUCCAAUGACAAGC